rnacentral:rRNA from 1 species
CACGUAGGGGGCGAGCGUUGUCCGGAUUUAUUGGGCGUAAAGAGCUCGUAGGCGGCUCGGUAAGUCAGGUGUGAAAACUCUAGGCUCAACCUAGAGACGCCACCUGAUACUGCUGUGGCUAGAGUCCGGUAGGGGAGCAUGGAAUUCCUGGUGUAGCGGUGAAAUGCGCAGAUAUCAGGAGGAACACCGGUGGCGAAGGCGGUUCUCUGGGCCUGUACUGACGCUGAGGAACGAAAGCGUGGGGAGCGAACAGG